CUCAGGAUGAACGCUAGCUACAGGCUUAACACAUGCAAGUCGAGGGGAAACGACAUCGAAAGCUUGCUUUUGAUGGGCGUCGACCGGCGCACGGGUGAGUAACGCGUAUCCAACCUGCCCACCACUUGGGGAUAACCUUGCGAAAGUAAGACUAAUACCCAAUGAUAUCUCUAGAAGACAUCUGAAGGAGAUUAAAGAUUUAUCGGUGAUGGAUGGGGAUGCGUCUGAUUAGCUUGUUGGCGGGGUAACGGCCCACCAAGGCGACGAUCAGUAGGGGUUCUGAGAGGAAGGUCCCCCACAUUGGAACUGAGACACGGUCCAAACUCCUACGGGAGGCAGCAGUGAGGAAUAUUGGUCAAUGGGCGAGAGUCUGAACCAGCCAAGUAGCGUGCAGGAUGACGGCCCUAUGGGUUGUAAACUGCUUUUAUAAGGGAAUAAAGUGAGUCUCGUGAGACUUUUUGCAUGUACCUUAUGAAUAAGGACCGGCUAAUUCCGUGCCAGCAGCCGCGGUAAUACGGAAGGUCCGGGCGUUAUCCGGAUUUAUUGGGUUUAAAGGGAGCGUAGGCCGGAGAUUAAGCGUGUUGUGAAAUGUAGACGCUCAACGUCUGCACUGCAGCGCGAACUAGUUUCCUUGAGUACGCACAAAGUGGGCGGAAUUCGUGGUGUAGCGGUGAAAUGCUUAGAUAUCACGAAGAACUCCGAUUGCGAAGGCAGCUCACUGGAGCGCAACUGACGCUGAAGCUCGAAAGUGCUGGUAUCGAACAGGAUUAGAUACCCUGGUAGUCCGCACGGUAAACGAUGGAUGCCCGCUGUUGGUCUGAAUAGGUCAGCGGCCAAGCGAAAGCAUUAAGCAUCCCACCUGGGGAGUACGCCGGCAACGGUGAAACUCAAAUGAAUUGACG
rnacentral:rRNA from 1 species